UGGGGAAUAUUGGACAAUGGGCGCAAGCCUGAUCCAGCCAUGCCGCGUGAGUGAUGAAGGCUCUAGGGUUGUAAAGCUCUUUCGCCGGGGAAGAUAAUGACGGUACCCGGAGAAGAAGCCUCGGCUAACUCCGUGCCAGCAGCCGCGGUAAGACGGAGGAGGCUAGCGUUGUUCGGAAUUACUGGGCGUAAAGCGCAUGAAGGUGGUGAAGUAAGCCGGAUGUGAAAUCCCAGGGCUUAACCCUGGAAGUGCAUCCGGGACUGCUUUGCCCGAGUCCGGAAGAGGAGGGCGGAAUUCCCAGUGUAGAGGUGAAAUUCGUAGAUAUUGGGAAGAACACCAGUGGCGAAGGCGGCUCUCUGGUCCGGUACUGACACUUUAGUGCGAAAGCGUGGGGAGCAAACAGGAUUAGAUACCCCCGUAGUCCCUGAGCGGGCUGGCAAGGCGCAU
rnacentral:rRNA from 1 species